AUUGAACGCUGGCGGCAGGCCUAACACAUGCAAGUCGAGCGGAGCGGCGGACGGGUGCGUAAUGGCUAGGAAUCUGCCCGGUAGUGGGGGAUAACGUCCGGAAACGGGAGCUAAUACCGCAUACGUUCAGAUUAGCCUAGGUCGGAUUAGCUAGUUGGUGGGGUAAAGGCCUACCAAGGCGACGAUCCGUAGCUGGUCUGAGAGGAGGAUCAGUCACACUGGAACUGAGACACGGUCCAGACUCCUACGGGAGGCAGCAGUGGGGAAUAUUGCACAAUGGGCGAAAGCCUGAUGCAGACAUGCCGCGUGUGUGAAGAAGGUCUUCGGAUUGUAAAGCACUUUAAGUCGGGAGGCGUUACCAACAGAAUAAGCACCGGGUAACUUCGUGCCAGCAGCCGCGGUAAUUC
rnacentral:rRNA from 1 species